rnacentral:lncRNA from 1 species
GAGCCUCCAGGAGGGCAGGUACGGGCCCUGUACUUCAGCUGUGCCACCUGGGGGAAAGGAAAUGAUGCCUUCUGAUUGAGAAAACCUGAUGGGUAAAUGAUCAAUAAAUGAGGUGAUAAUCAGAGGACCUCAAAGAGAACUGGGUUAUAACAUCAGGAUUUUUAGCUAAGAAGCUGUGUUGAGCCAGAAGAUGUGAGCCUGCUGUCUCUGGAGGGAUGGAGUGCUGGUGCUACCUUGCUGUUGUGACCUGCUUCUCUUGGGAAGAGUCUGUGAGAUGGAAAUGAAAAACCCUGAAAUUUGGCACUGUGGAGGGAGACUGGGAGGAGAUGCUUUUCUUGCCUGUUUAAACCUGGGGUGUGUGCUAACA